rnacentral:rRNA from 1 species
AUUGAACGCUGGCGGCUUGCUUUACACAUGCAAGUCGAACGGCAGCGCGGGCUUCGGCCUGGCGGCGAGUGGCGAACGGGUGAGUAAUGCAUCGGAACGUGCCCAGUAGUGGGGGAUAGCCCGGCGAAAGCCGGAUUAAUACCGCAUACGACCUGAGGGUGAAAGCGGGGGACCGAAAGGCCUCGCGCUAUUGGAGCGGCCGAUGUCGGAUUAGCUAGUUGGUGGGGUAAAGGCUUACCAAGGCGACGAUCCGUAGCUGGUCUGAGAGGACGACCAGCCACACUGGGACUGAGACACGGCCCAGACUCCUACGGGAGGCAGCAGUGGGGAAUUUUGGACAAUGGGGGCAACCCUGAUCCAGCCAUGCCGCGUGCGGGAAGAAGGCCUUCGGGUUGUAAACCGCUUUUGUUCGGGAAGAAAUCCUCUGGGCUAAUACCCCGGGGGGAUGACGGUACCGGAAGAAUAAGCACCGGCUAACUACGUG